rnacentral:rRNA from 1 species
AUUGAACGCUGGCGGCAGGCCUAACACAUGCAAGUCGAGCGGAACGUCGGACGGGUGAGUAAUGCCUAGGAAUCUACAUGGGGGUGGGGUAUCACGUCCGGGAGCGGACGCUAAUGCAGCAUACUAUCAGGUGGGCCUCGGUCGGAUUAGCUAGUUGGUGGGGUAAAGGCCUACCAAGGCGACGAUCCGUAACCGCCCUGAGAGGAUGAUAAGUCACACGGGAACUGAGACACGGUCCAGACUCCUACGGGAGGCAGCAGGGGGGAAUAUUCGACAAUGGGCGAAAGUCUGACCGAGCAACGCCGCGUGUGUGAAGAAGGUUUUCGGAGCGUAAAGCUCUGUAGGUUGGGAGGCGGUAUCAAACCAGUAAGCAACGGCUAACUUCGUGCCAGCAGCCGCGGUAAUAC